rnacentral:rRNA from 1 species
ACAUGCCUACAAUAUAUCAUGAAUGCACUAGAUCCCAUUCAACCUCUAUAGUUAAGCACGCUCGGGAUAGAGUAGUACUGGGAUGGGUGAUCAUCCGAGAAGUCCUAGUAUUUUACAUGCC